AACGAACCGAAGGACUGGAGGAAAGAUUUCAGAACAAAAGCUUAGCUCCACCAUGAACCUGCCAUCCCUCCUCCAGACUCCACACGGAGGAGCAUAUGCUGUGAAGAAAGCGUGCACUUCAGAGUACAGAUGAGCCAGGAAGGGAGAACCUGCUGUUCCCGGAAGUCUUCCCGAGUGGGAGCAUCUCACGGGGCUGAGUGUAAGGCAGGUAUUCAAAGAUGCAUAUUGUUCAUGCAACACAGACCUAAUAUGCGAGCUAACAACUCCAUUCGGUGUUUAACGAAAGAAACAGUGGUUCCGUUCCGGAGCUGGAGGACAAACUAUUGGACUUUGAAAGACACUGCUGGUCUCUAAAAUGAUGUCAUGUGAACCGUUUUGUGUGCAGUUUAAAGGUUGUUCAUUUUUCUGCAUAAAAUUGAACAUAACACACAACUCCAUUAUAAACCCUAUCUGAACAUCUGGGGUUUUGUGGUUUCCCUGUUAUCAUGAAUCAUCAUGUAUCUUUUCUCUGCAGAAGCUGCUUUAUAUGUAAACUAUAACCGUGUUUAUUUACUUGGUGUAAUAGUGAUUAGGAUAAACAAUGUAGAAUGUGCUGGAAUCUGCACAGGAGGUGCAUAAAUGCUGGGACCAAGCAAAAGCUGCAGACAGAGCUCAUCGUGUCAGCUCUGAUUUACAUCAUCACAUUUAAAUGCAAGAAGGAAUGUUGACUCUAAAGAAAAUCAAAUACAUUAAAACAGAGCUCUUUGCAUUUUUAGGACCAUAGACCAAAUAAUCCUGAAAUCUAUAUCUUGUUGAAAUGUCCUUGAUAGAAAAGCGAGAGAUUCUGCCUAAUCUAGGAAUUGAGAAAAAGAGAAAUAAAUCCAGAUACUAAAGGACAGAAAAGAAAAUGCUAUAUAAUGAUUUUAUGAUACAGAAAUAUUUUUACUCCAGAAGUACAUUUUAAAAUCCCAUUGAAAAUGCCAUGUAAAAUUGAAUUGCCCUCAGACUUUGAAAAAUAAUGUGGAGAAUGGCUAGAAUUUCAAGGUGGGAAAUAGCUUGCUUUGUAGCAACCCAAUUUCAUAGCUAAACUGUAUAUGAGACACCUUUCUGAGGUUUCUACUAUCUUUAAGAGACUUACAUGUUGUUAUCAGUUCCAUUUAAAGUACUUACUUAUUAACACGGCUCUUGGAAAAUCCAGAAUGGUUGAACAACAGCAGAUUUGAAUUUUAUUAUUUUGCUUUGUAAAAAAAAAAAAAUGCCAGCUGAGAAAGAGAUCAAGUAUAAACUUUCAUUAGAGCAGUUUAUGUUUAUUCUAAAGUCUCUAGAAUGUUAACAUGCUCCAAGCUCUAUGUUAAGUCAAGGGAAGACCUUUCAGAAGCAGCGAACCAAUGUGUUUUCUACAAGGCAUAAAUCCAAUUUUUUCUUGAAAACAUUAAAGCACAUUGGAAAACCAUUCCCCUUAUUUCUUUAACUGGAAAAAGCUGCAUUUGAGAAACUCACUUUACUCAGACAGAAGUAAUGUGACAUAAAGAUCUGAUCUGGGGAGGACAGAAGAACUCAUAUCGUGAGGUGGACUCCACAUUGCCAUUGGUGUUCCCAAGUCCAUUACAUCUGGUUUCUUGUAAUGAAAAAGGCGAACUCUCGGCACCAUGAUUGAUUUGUCUUCCAUUCUAACCUCACAGACUCUGGCCCAUAAUAAAGAGAUUGAGAAUUGGACAAGCCCAGCUUCCGUGCUAUCAAAUCUACAAUGGGAUGCCUGGAAAAAUUGAGCUGUAUCUAUAGAAGGGAAAAUGAACAGGCCACAGCACAACUAAUCUGCUCAAUUCUACUGUUGCAAAGAUUGAUGGAGACCAUUGUGUGAUCAAUUUGGUCAUGACACUGGGUAUCAGUCAUGAGCAUGACUGAAAUGAAUGGAAUCACUUUACUCCAAUCUGGUCUGCUUUCAUUGUGUAAACUUAGCUGGUCCUGAGGACUUGGGGUCAGGGAAAUCAGCACUACACUUAAGUCUACUAACCUUCCUGAGAUCAUUUAUUAGCAAAAAAUCAGCAUAUUCAUGCAUAUUAGUUAUUAU